AAGUAAAAAGGCGUAGAGGAUGUGUAGGCCAAGAAAUUAUCUAAGAAGGUAAAUGGAAUUUUUCUGGAGCGGUAAAAUGUGAAGAUAGAAAAUAGAACACCUAAGGUUAAAACUAUUUACCACAAAAUAGGCUGAAACAUGAGAGAGUGGGGAGCAAACAGGAUUAGAGACCCUGGUAGUCCACUCUGUAAACUUUGAAGAUUAUGUUUAGCAGGCCCGAAAGGUAAAAUCUUCCGCCUGAGUAGUACGAUCGCAAGAUUAAAAUUCAAAAACUUUGGCUGUUCACUACUUCGAUUAGAGGAGCGUGUAGUUUAAUUCGAUGGUCCGCGUGUUACCUUACCCCAGCUUGAAUCUAUGACCGGUAUUGCAUGGCCGUCGUAAGUCCCUGUGUUAAACUAAAAGGGACCCAAUCCGGGCGUUUGCCUGAAGGAAGUCAGGUCUUAUGAUCCGAAUGUUGGGGGAUUUAUGCGCUACAUUUUCUUAUAUAAUGAGAGACUUGAGAGGUAAGCCUCUAAAGUAAGAGUUCGGAAGGUCGCUGUA
rnacentral:rRNA from 1 species